UACGUAGGGUGCAAGCGUUGUCCGGAAUUAUUGGGCGUAAAGAGCUUGUAGGCGGUUUGUCGCGUCUGCUGUGAAAUUUCGGGGCUCAACCCCGAACUUGCAGUGGGUACGGGCAGGCUAGAGUGUGGUAGGGGAGACUGGAAUUCCAGGUGUAGCGGUGAAAUGCGUAGAUAUCUGGAAGAACACCGGUGGCGAAGGCGGUCGACUGGCCCUAAACUGACGCUGAGGCACGAAAGCGUGGGGAUCAAACAGG
rnacentral:rRNA from 1 species